GAUGAACGCUGGCGGCGUGCCUAAUACAUGCAAGUCGAGCGAACAGACGAGGAGCUUGCUCCUCUGACGUUAGCGGCGGACGGGUGAGUAACACGUGGAUAACCUACCUAUAAGACUGGGAUAACUUCGGGAAACCGGAGCUAAUACCGGAUAAUAUAUUGAACCGCAUGGUUCAAUAGUGAAAGACGGUUUUGCUGUCACUUAUAGAUGGAUCCGCGCCGCAUUAGCUAGUUGGUAAGGUAACGGCUUACCAAGGCAACGAUGCGUAGCCGACCUGAGAGGGGGAUCGGCCACACGGGAACGUGGACACGGACAAGGCGCCUACGGGAGGCAGCAGUAGGGAAUCGGCCGCAAUGGGCGAAAGCCUGACGGAGCAACGCCGCGUGAGUGAUGAAGGUCUUCGGAUCGUAAAACUCUGUUAUGAGGGAAGAACAAAUGUGUAAGUAACUAUGCACGGCUUGACGGUAACUAAUCAGAAAGCCACGGCUAACUACGUG
rnacentral:rRNA from 1 species